rnacentral:rRNA from 1 species
UACAGAGGUCCCGAGCGUUGUUCGGAUCCAUUGGGCGUAAAGGGUGCGUAGGCGGCGGGGCAAGUCUGAUGUGAAAUCCCGGGGCUCAACCCCGGAACUGCAUUGGAUACUGCCUUGCUUGAGUACUGGAGAGGAGACUGGAAUUUACGGUGUAGCAGUGAAAUGCGUAGAUAUCGUGAGGAACACCAGAGGCGAAGGCGGUUACCUGGACAGUUACUGACGCUCAGGCACGAAAGCAUGGGGAGCAAAAGGG